CCUCAUCUCAGGGUUUAGCCCUGAGACUUGCCAUAUUCCUGAAAGAGAAGGACUUAAAUCUCUCCUCUCAACAAUUCUUCCCGAUAGGAUUUGGAGGUGCUUGGCAAGGUGUCACCCUAACUUAAGAAUCCUACUUGUCCAGCACCUUUCCCAGAUCUUCGUCUCUGCAGGACAGACCGCAGCCAAGCGAGGCCAUUCGCCCAACCUCCCUGGGUGGCUGUGCAGGAUGUUCCUCUUCCAACAGCGAAUUCUGCAGGUUCAAUCCAGACCUUCAAGAACCACAGCUUCUUGGGCCCUGCUACCCUCUGACUAUAAUCCUGCCCGUGAAAGAAGUCUUCGGGGGGUGAUGCACCUGUUUUGCUGCUGAUAUUGGCAAUGACAGAGCUAUCAUUACGAGAUCUGAGACCCAAUGAUUCGCCC
rnacentral:lncRNA from 1 species